AGAGUUUGAUCCUGGCUCAGGAUGAACGCUGGCGGUAUGCCUAACACAUGCAAGUCGAACGGUUCGCAAGAACAGUGGCGGACGGGUGAGUAACGCGUGAGAAUCUGCCUUCAGGAUGGGGACAACAGCGGGAAACUGCUGCUAAUACCCGAUGUGCCGAGAGGUGAAAGUUAUUUCGCCUGAAGAGGAGCUCGCGUCUGAUUAGCUAGUUGGAGUGGUAAGAGCACACCAAGGCGACGAUCAGUAGCUGGUCUGAGAGGAUGAGCAGCCACACUGGGACUGAGACACGGCCCAGACUCCUACGGGAGGCAGCAGUGGGGAAUUUUCCGCAAUGGGCGAAAGCCUGACGGAGCAAUACCGCGUGAGGGAGGAAGGUUCAAGUAAUUGUAAACCUCUUUUAUCAGGGAAGAAAAAAAUGACGUACCUGAAGAA
rnacentral:rRNA from 1 species